rnacentral:rRNA from 1 species
CCGCGGUAACACCGGCGGCCCGAGUGGUGAUCGUGAUUAUGGGUCUAAAGGGUCCGUAGCCGGUUUGGUCAGUCCUCCGGGAAAUCUGAUAGCUCAACUAUUAGGGCUUUCGGGGGAUACUGCCAGACUUGGAACCGGGAGAGGUAAGAGGUACUACAGGGGUAGGAGUGAAAUCUUGUAAUCCCUGUGGGACCACCUGUGGCGAAGGCGUCUUACCAGAACGGGUUCGACGGUGAGGGACGAAAGCUGGGGGCACGAACCGGAUUAGAUACCCGGGUAGUCCCAGCCGUAAACGAUGCUCGCUAGGUGUCAGGCAUGGCGCGACCGUGUCUGGUGCCGCAGGGAAGCCGUGAAGCGAGCCACCUGGGAAGUACGGCCGCAAGGCUGAAACUUAAAGGAAUUGGCGGGGGAGCACAACAACGGGUGGAAGCCUGCGGUUUAAUUGGACUCAACGCCGGACAACUCACCGGGGGCGACAGCAAUAUGUAGGCCAAGCUGAAGACUUUGCCUGAAUCGCUGAGAGUAGAGGUGCAUGG